UGGAUUAUUGCAAAAGAUCAAUCAAUCACUCCACCCCAAACGGAAUUAGCAGCCACCUACCAUUUCUGGGAAGGAAAGGAGAAGCUGUGUACAUAAAGGCAGCUGAGAUUCUUAGACAACUGGGACAUCACCAGGAGAAGGCAUCCAAGACAGAAGAAUAAACACCGCCACCUUGUAAAGGUGAACCCAGCAAGCUGCCAAGAUGUGCAACUUUAAAUUUCUUACCAACAUACUGAAAUGUAUGUUUAAGACGAUACAGUGGAUUUGUAACAAGGCCAAAGAAUGCAGGAGGCGACACAAGCCAGCAAUUGAAAAACCACCCAAGCCAGAAACU